rnacentral:rRNA from 1 species
UACGUAGGGUGCGAGCGUUGUCCGGAAUUAUUGGGCGUAAAGGGUUCGUAGGCGGUUUGUCGCGUCGGGAGUGAAAUCAUCUGGCUUAACUGGGUGCUUGCUUUCGAUACGGGCAGACUAGAGGUAUGCAGGGGAGAACGGAAUUCCUGGUGUAGCGGUGAAAUGCGCAGAUAUCGGGAGGAACACCGGUGGCGAAGGCGGUUCUCUGGGCCUUACCUGACGCUGAGGAGCGAAAGCGUGGGGAGCGAACAGG